AAUUCCACGUGUAGCGGUGAAAUGCGUAGAGAUGUGGAGGAACACCAGUGGCGAAGGCGGCUUUUUGGUCUGUAACUGACGCUGAGGCGCGAAAGCGUGGGGAGCAAACAGGAUUAGAUACCCUGGUAGUCCACGCCGUAAACGAUGACUGCUUAGUGUUAGAGGGUUUCCGCCCUUUAUUGCUGCAGCUAACGCAUUAAUCACUCCGCCUGGGGAGUACGGUCGCAAGACUGAAACUCAAAGGAAUUGACGGGGGCCCGCACAAGCGGUGGAGCAUGUGGUUUAAUUCAAAGCAACGCAAAGAACCUUACCAGGUCUUGACAUCCUCUGACUUCUCUAAAGAUAGAUCGUUCCCCUUCGAACUACAGAGUGACAGGUGGUGCAUGGUUGUCGUCAUCUCGUGUCGUGAGAUGUU
rnacentral:rRNA from 2 species